UGGACCGCUCCAGUUUCUCAACAUCCAUUUUGAACAGUGGUACCCAGAACUGGAUUCUAGGAAGGAAUGAAGUUAUCCCUCAUUAAGUUGCAAUCAUAAUGUAGUGCAAUUAUACAUUUGUUAUCUGGGAAAGGAAAGGAAAAGAAAGGAAGUACUGAUGAAUAACUUACAUACAAGAUCUUAGAGUGAGGUCAGAACAGCUUCUGAGCGGGGCAUAACUGUGGAAAAGACUCUCUCUGCCAAACUUCUAAACCAGGUAAAAAGAAGAAGAUUGAAGAGGACAAAGUGAAGGAGAGAAGUGGUAAGGAAGAAGGAUUUGGAAAUGUCAGAAGAGGAGAGAAAAAAGAAGGGAAGAAGUUAAAGCAAAUAAAGUUUGCGAGAGAAGAAAUCCGAAGGGUGCCCCUGAUGGAGCCUUCACCAGUAGCUGUUUCACCAGCACUCAGGAAAAGCCUCGGAAGGAGAACGCCUCGGCCUCUGCCACCCGUUCUCACUUGGUGCCCUUUGAGUUUGGCAGCAGCAUCCAACAUGAUGGUGCGAGGGCACAGCCCAACUCUGCCAACUUCACAGCUACACAAGGGCCAGGCCUGGAUACAGACUUUGGAGCCAGUGCUGGUGUCUCUCUGAGGAUCUUGUCAUCAGACAGCGAAGGGAGUCCUGACAUGCCCCCCUUGCCGUCGGGACGCUUUGAGUGGGACUACUACGACCCAAGCUUUGAGAGGAAGCCGCCGCCUCGCAUAAGCAGCAAACAAUAUUGGCUGUAGUAUAAAUGUUGGAUGUUGAUGCGGGGAGAGAUGGAAAGAGACAGCAUGCAAACAGUUCUGGUUUUUACUUGGUUAUCAGUUUUGGUCGCUCUGCCUUCCUCUGUUGUCUUUGGCUAUGAAAGGAAAACUUCUCUGCCCUGUUGAAUGUCUCUAACUUGGAAUGAGGUUGGUUGGUUGGUUUUCACACCCCAUGCAACACAAUUGGUUACCCUUUGGCUUCAAACCCUCUAAGCAUUUGCACCAACACAGUGUUGGCAUCACCAAUGCACAAGAGCUUACCCCAACAACUGCAAUCCCUGCACACACACAGGCAAAGCAAAUGAACCUUUGCACCAACAUCACAAUCAACAGGAUUGGGAAGAACCGGCAUGUUCACCUGGGAAUGUCCACCUCAGCACUUUGGGUGGGUUUGAUAGGACACUUCAAAUAGGAAUGUCUUAUGUUGAAACAAUGUAUUAUUGGUGUUUAUUGUUUACAUGAUUUGCACAACUAGCUCUGUCUCCACAAAGGUGGGUGGCUGGGUGGACAUUGUGUUGAUGAAAAAAGCCUCAAGGCACCAUGUAGCGCUUGAUUUUUGUUUUGUGAACUUGUGCUUAUUAAAGAUGGAGCUUUUAUUCUUGUCUUGACAGCUUCCUUCCGCCUG